AAUGAUAUGUCUGAAUAAAGUAAUAAACUGUAAAUUUAUUUAAGAAUCUCCCCUAGAUUCUAUCAUUA
rnacentral:tRNA from 1 species